rnacentral:rRNA from 1 species
UACGUAGGUGGCAAGCGUUAUCCGGAAUUAUUGGGCGUAAAGCGCGCGCAGGUGGUUUCUUAAGUCUGAUGUGAAAGCCCACGGCUCAACCGUGGAGGGUCAUUGGAAACUGGGAGACUUGAGUGCAGAAGAGGAAAGUGGAAUUCCAUGUGUAGCGGUGAAAUGCGUAGAGAUAUGGAGGAACACCAGUGGCGAAGGCGACUUUCUGGUCUGUAACUGACACGGAGGCGCGAAAGCGUGGGGAGCAAACAGG